rnacentral:tRNA from 1 species
UACAUUAUAGUGUAGGAUGCACGUAAAUUUUUGAUGUUUAAAGGAAUAGUUUAAUUCUAUUGGGUGUAA